UACGGAGGGUGCGAGCGUUAUCCGGAUUCACUGGGUUUAAAGGGUGCGUAGGUGGGCAGGUAAGUCAGUGGUGAAAUCUCCGGGCUUAACCCGGAAACUGCCAUUGAUACUAUCGGUCUUGAAUACCGUGGAGGUGAGCGGAAUAUGUCAUGUAGCGGUGAAAUGCUUAGAUAUGACAUAGAACACCAAUUGCGAAGGCAGCUUACUACAGGGACAUUGACACUGAGGCACGAAAGCGUGGGGAUCAAACAGG
rnacentral:rRNA from 1 species